rnacentral:rRNA from 1 species
UGCCAGACUCCUACGGGAGGCAGCAGUGGGGAAUAUUGCACAAUGGGGGAAACCCUGAUGCAGCAACGCCGCGUGAGUGAAGAAAUCAUUCGUGAUGUAAAGCUCUAUCAGCAGGGAAGAAAAUGACGGUACCUGAAGAAGAAGCCCCGGCUAACUACGUGCCAGCAGCCGCGGUAAUACGUAGGGGGCAAGCGUUAUCCGGAUUUACUGGGUGUAAAGGGGGCGCAGACGGCGAUGCAAGCCAGGAGUGAAAGCCCGGGGCCCAACCCCGGGACUGCUCUUGGAACUGCGUGGCUGGAGUGCAGGAGGGGCAGGCGGAAUUCCUGGUGUAGCGGUGAAAUGCGUAGAUAUCAGGAGGAACACCGGUGGCGAAGGCGGCCUGCUGGACUGCAACUGACGUUGAGGCCCGAAAGCGUGGGGAGCAACCAGGAUUAGAUACCCGUGUACG